UCCCCCACUCUCUGAAUCCGCUAGCGAACCACCAUGCCUCCCCCUUCGCCGUCCCCAGCCGCCGCGCCGACGGCUCUGCCUCCGGCUCCGCACUAAAGCAAUCUGCUCUCUCUCUCUCUCUCCUCCGUGAAGUGCUGAAUCUGCUGGUGAACCAUGACGCCGACGAGCCUCCGUCGGUUGCCUCCGCCGUUGCCUCCCGAGCCACCGUGUUGAGGCAAUCUGCCAGCGAACCACGACGCCGACGCGCCUCCGCCUCCGCCGUCGCCUCCCCGACCCGCCGUCGCAUUUUUCCCUCAUCCUCGCGACCUCCGCACUGUUCUCUCUUUCUUUUCUCCGCGAAGCGCCCCUGCUUGUGAACGCCAACCCUACCGACGUCGUCGACGCCGUCGCCUCCCGAGCCCCACCACCGCCUGUCAAAGCCCUAUUGGCGGCUCCGAUACGUCCUCUGCGUCUCGAAGGUUAGGGUUUUGCUACGGAUUCUGCUCAGUAGAGUUUUAACUUCUGUUAAUAAUGUGCUUAUCUGUUUAUUGAAGUGAAACGUAGAUGAACUUCAUUUCAUAGAUGAAGAAUCCCUUGCCGCCAGGUUUUUAUGGCUUUUACGUGAGUCAAUGGAGCAGGUCUUCCAAGCUCUAUAAUCUCAUUGUCUUUGGAAAAAAAGUUCAUAAAAUUGCUAGGUUUGCCUUAAACUGUGUUGGUCUGGAGUAUUGGCUGAGAAAGAUGCACGAUUCUUUGAAAGUAUCAAAUAAACUAUGAUAAGUGUAGAUCGCAUAUCAAGUCUAUUUUGAUCCAAUUAGGUAGCUUGAUCCAGCUCUAUGCUGUCCAGUCUGAGACAUUCUUUGUAUCAGAGUUUGCCACCUAGUAUAAAGUCAUCUUUGCGCUCUAGAAUUCAUUCUUUUCAUGUCAAAGAAUAGGUAUUAUCUCAUAAUCAUUCUUUUCUUGUUCAAGAAACUGAAUGCAUUCUAUCCAAAAUACUAAAUUCGAAGUCUAUUUCUCAAGCUUCUUCCGUUGAGCAGGUAAUGCUUUGAGAAGGGUCCAUAUAGCUUGUCUCUGUGCAGCUCUCUGUUGCAGACAUCAAAGUUGAGAUGGAGCAGACUCUACAGAGGCUAUCGCUUGAAAAAUUGAAAAGACGAGAGAGAAAGAAAAUAGGGGAGAGAGAGCGCGCGGGUAAUCGAAAAAUUGAAAAGAUGAGAGAGAGGGCUUGAGCGGAGACUGGCAUUUAUUAUUCAUUGUGUCAGUGGUUUGCCUUCCGAUUUUUAUUUUUCUAUUUCUACAUAUUCCAGCUCAC
rnacentral:lncRNA from 1 species